rnacentral:rRNA from 1 species
UACGUAGGGUGCGAGCGUUGUCCGGAAUUAUUGGGCGUAAAGAGCUCGUAGGCGGUGUGUCACGUCGGCCGUGAAAACCUGCAGCUUAACUGUGGGCGUGCGGUCGAUACGGGCAUCACUGGAGUUCGGCAGGGGAGACUGGAAUUCCUGGUGUAGCGGUGAAAUGCGCAGAUAUCAGGAGGAACACCGGUGGCGAAGGCGGGUCUCUUGGCUGAUACUGACGCUGAGGAGCGAAAGCGUGGGGAGCAAACAGG